rnacentral:ncRNA from 2 species
GAUUGCCCUUGGGGGAGGCUGAAAGGCCUGAGAGGACGAACGUCGACCCCUUGAACCUGAUCCGGGUUAUGCCGGCGUAGGGAAUGGGAAAGGAGACCGU